rnacentral:tRNA from 2 species
GGUCGAUUGGCGCAGCGGGAGCGCAGGUGCCUUACAAGCACAAGGUCGGGGGUUCAAAUCCCUCAUCGACCACCA